AUGCAAGGACGGUUGGUUGAAGAUCACGGUGAUUGGAAGCUUCGUACGGUGAUGAUUUCAAGGUUUUUGUAUAUGACCUUUUGGGCAAGUUUGGGACAGCAAAGAUAUCGACAAUACAACAUGAUGUAUGCGGGUUUUUGGACUGACCUGUUUGGACUAAUAUGCAGGGUUAUUUCUGGUUUGGGGCAGCAGUAUGGUGGAGUUAGUUUAUGCAAAGCUUUGACUUGUUUAUGGACAGUAUGCAUAGGAGAACAGAGCAGCAACAGUAGGUUAAUGGGAUAUGAAGCAGGCCAGUGUUUAGAUAGCAGCAUGAUUGUUUUUGUUCAUAUCUGGUAG